GGGAAGUUAAACCCUAAGACCAAGGGGGAAAAUCCUAUUUUUAAGAACAGGCAGGCAUACUGAAGUCCAUUUGAUCUGUGUUUUUUUUAGUUUUUCCGGCCUGCAACUUCAGCUGGUCAGAUCAUCAGCUUGUCUGCUCUUCUGAAGACCUCACAGUCUGAAGCUCUUCCAGGAGAGCUGCUGUACCCAGGGCAACAGGUGGCAGCCCGGGGUCAGAUGGCUUUACUGCAGAAUUCUACCUGACUUUCAAAGAAGAGCUAAUAUCAAUAUUACUCAAAC